GACGAACGCUGGCGGCGUGCUUAACACAUGCAAGUCGAACGGAAAGGCCUCUUUCGGGGGGUACUCGAGUGGCGAACGGGUGAGUAACACGUGAGUAACCUGCCCUUGACUUUGGGAUAACUUCAGGAAACUGGGGCUAAUACCGGAUAGGAGCUCCUGCUGCAUGGUGGGGGUUGGAAAGUUUCGGCGGUUGGGGGUGGACUCGCGGCUUAUCAGCUUGUUGGUGGGGUAGUGGCUUACCAAGGCUUUGACGGGUAGCCGGCCUGAGAGGGUGACCGGCCACAUUGGGACUGAGAUACGGCCCAGACUCCUACGGGAGGCAGCAGGGGGGAAUAUUGCACAAUGGGUGGAAGCCUGAUGCAGCAGCGCCGUGUGCGGGAUGACGGCCUUCGGGUUGUAAACCGCUUUCGCUCAUGACGAAGCUUUGUGUGACGGUAGUGGGUAAAGAAGCACCGGCUAACUACGUG
rnacentral:rRNA from 1 species